AUUGAACGCUGGCGGCAGGCCUAACACAUGCCAGUCGAACGGUAACAGGAAACAGCUUGCUGUUUCGCUGACGAGUGGCGGACGGGUGAGUAAUGUCUGGGAAACUGCCUGAUGGAGGGGGAUAACUACUGGAAACGGUAGCUAAUACCGCAUAACGUCGCAAGACCAAAGAGGGGGACCCUCGGGCCUCUUGCCAUCGGAUGUGCCCAGAUGGGAUUAGCUUGUUGGUGGGGUAACGGCUCACCAAGGCGACGAUCCCUAGCUGGUCUGAGAGGAUGACCAGCCACACUGGAACUGAGACACGGUCCAGACUCCUACGGGAGGCAGCAGUGGGGAAUAUUGCACAAUGGGCGCAAGCCUGAUGCAGCCAUGCCGCGUGUAUGAAGAAGGCCUUCGGGUUGUAAAGUACUUUCAGCGGGGAGGAAGGGAGUAAAGUUAAUACCUUUGCUCAUUGACGUUACCCGCAGAAGAAGCACCGGCGAACUCCGU
rnacentral:rRNA from 1 species